rnacentral:rRNA from 1 species
GACGAACGCUGGCGGCGUGCUUAACACAUGCAAGUCGAACGGCAAGGCCCUGCUUUAGUGUGGUGCUCGAGUGGCGCAAGGGUGCGUAACACGUGAGUAACCUGCCCGCGACUUGGGGAUAACUCCAGGAAACUGGGGCUAAUACCGGAUAGGAGCUCCUGCUGCAUGGUGGGGGUGGGUAAGCUUCGGCGGUUGGGGAUGGACCCGGGGCUUGUCAGCUUGUUGGGGGGGUAGUGGCUUACCAAGGCUUUGACGGGUAGCCGGCCUGCGAGGGUGACCGGAGACAUUGGGACUGAGACAACGGCCAGAAGCCUACGGGAGUCAGCAGUGGGGAUUAUUGCACAAUGGGAGGAAGGCUGAUGCAGCAACGAAGCGUGCGUGAUGACGGCCUUGGGGUUGUAAACCGAUUUCGCCUGUGACGAAGCGUGAGUGACGGUAAUGGGUAAAGAAGCACCGGCUAACUACGUG